rnacentral:rRNA from 1 species
UACAGAGGUCUCAAGCGUUGUUCGGAUUCAUUGGGCGUAAAGGGUGCGUAGGUGGCGCGUUAAGUCAGGUGUGAAAUUUCGGGGCUUAACUCCGAAACUGCAUUUGAUACUGGCGUGCUUGAGGACUGGAGAGGAGACUGGAAUUCAUGGUGUAGCGGUGAAAUGCGUAGAGAUCAUGAGGAAGACCAGUGGCGAAGGCGGGUCUCUGGACAGUUCCUGACACUGAGGCACGAAGGCGAGGGGAGCAAACGGG